rnacentral:rRNA from 1 species
CUAACCCGCCGCCCUUAUCGGGCGGGGAGACAGUGUCAGGUGGGCAGUUUGACUGGGGCGGUCGCCUCCUAAAAGGUAACGGAGGCGCCCAAAGGUUCCCUCAGAAUGGUUGGAAAUCAUGCGCAGAGUGUAAAGGCACAAGGGAGCUUGACUGCGAGACCUACAAGUCGAGCAGGGACGAAAGUCGGGCUUAGUGAUCCGGUGGUUCCGCAUGGAAGGGCCAUCGCUCAACGGAUAAAAGCUACCCCGGGGAUAACAGGCUUAUCUCCCCCAAGAGUCCACAUCGACGGGGAGGUUUGGCACCUCGAUGUCG